rnacentral:rRNA from 1 species
AGUGAACGCUGGCGGUAGGCCUAACACAUGCAAGUCGAACGGCAGCACAGUAAGAGCUUGCUCUUACGGGUGGCGAGUGGCGGACGGGUGAGGAAUACAUCGGAAUCUACUUUUUCGUGGGGGAUAACGUGGGGAAACUUACGCUAAUACCGCAUACGACCUACGGGUGAAAGCAGUGGAUCUUCGGACCUUGCGCGAUUGAAUGAGCCGAUGUCGGAUUAGCUAGUUGGCGGGGUAAAGGCCCACCAAGGCGACGAUCCGUAGCUGGUCUGAGAGGAUGAUCAGCCACACUGGAACUGAAACACGGUCCAGACUCCUACGGGAGGCAGCAGUGGGGAAUAUUGGACAAUGGGCGCAAGCCUGAUCCAGCCAUACCGCGUGGGUGAAGAAGGCCUUCGGGUUGUAAAGCCCUUUUGUUGGGAAAGAAAAGCAGCAGGUUAAUACCCCGCUGUUCUGACGGUACCCAAAGAAUAAGCACCGGCUAACUUCGUG